AGAGCGAACGCUGGCGGCAGGCUUAACACAUGCAAGUCGAGCGGGCGUAGCAAUACGUCAGCGGCAGACGGGUGAGUAACGCGUGGGAACAUACCUUUUGGUUCGGAACAACACAGGGAAACUUGUGCUAAUACCGGAUAAGCCCUUACGGGGAAAGAUUUAUCGCCGAAAGAUUGGCCCGCGUCUGAUUAGCUAGUUGGUGAGGUAACGGCUCACCAAGGCGACGAUCAGUAGCUGGUCUGAGAGGAUGAUCAGCCACAUUGGGACUGAGACACGGCCCAAACUCCUACGGGAGGCAGCAGUGGGGAAUAUUGGACAAUGGGCGCAAGCCUGAUCCAGCCAUGCCGCGUGAGUGAUGAAGGCCCUAGGGUUGUAAAGCUCUUUUGUGCGGGAAGAUAAUGACGGUACCGCAAGAAUAAGCCCCGGCUAACUUCGUCGCCAGCAGCCGC
rnacentral:rRNA from 1 species